UGGGGAAUAUUGCACAAUGGGCGCAAGCCUGAUGCAGCCAUGCCGCGUGUGUGAAGAAGGCCUUCGGGUUGUAAAGCACUUUCAGCGAGGAGGAAGGUGGUGAGCUUAAUACGCUCAUCAAUUGACGUUACUCGCAGAAGAAGCACCGGCUAACUCCGUGCCAGCAGCCGCGGUAAUACGGAGGGUGCAAGCGUUAAUCGGAAUUACUGGGCGUAAAGCGCACGCAGGCGGUUUGUUAAGUCAGAUGUGAAAUCCCCGGGCUCAACCUGGGAACUGCAUUUGAAGCUGGCAAGCUAGAGUCUCGUAGAGGGGGGUAGAAUUCCAGGUGUAGCGGUGAAAUGCGUAGAGAUCUGGAGGAAUACCGGUGGCGAAGGCGGCCCCCUGGACGAAGACUGACGCUCAGGUGCGAAAGCGUGGGGCAGCAAACAGGAUUAGAUACCCUGGUAGUCCAGCGCUGUAAACGAUGUCGAUUUUGGAGGUUGUGCCCUUGAGGCGUGGCUUCCGGAGCUAACGCGUUAAAUCGACCGCCUGGGGAGUACGGCCGCAAGGUUAAAACUUAAAUGAAUUGC
rnacentral:rRNA from 1 species